AAGCAUAUCAAUAAGCGGAGGAAAAGAAACCAACAGGGAUUGCCCCAGUAACGGCGAGUGAAGCGGCAACAGCUCAAAUUUGAAAUCUGGCCCCUCGGGGCCCGAGUUGUAAUUUGUAGAGGAUGCUUCUGGCGAGGCGCCGCCUGAGUUCCCUGGAACGGGACGCCAUAGAGGGUGAGAGCCCCGUCUGGCUGGCCGCCGAGCCUCUGUGAAGCUCCUUCGACGAGUCGAGUAGUUUGGGAAUGCUGCUCAAAACGGGAGGUAUAUGUCUUCUAAAGCUAAAUAUUGGCCAGAGACCGAUAGCGCACAAGUAGAGUGAUCGAAAGAUGAAAAGCACUUUGAAAAGAGGGUUAAACAGUACGUGAAAUUGUUGAAAGGGAAGCGCUUGCGACCAGACUCGGGCGCGGCGGAUCAUCCGGCGUUCUCGCCGGUGCACUCCGCCGUGCUCGGGCCAGCAUCGGUUCGCCUCGGGGGAGAAAGGCGUCGGGAAUGUGGCUCCCUCGGGAGUGUUAUAGCCCGGCGUGGAAUACCCUGGGGCGGACCGAGGACCGCGCGUUUUACGCAAGGAUGCUGGCGUAAUGGUCGCCAGCGACCCGUCUUGAAACACGGACCAAGGAGUCGUCCUCGUAUGCGAGUGUUCGGGUGUCAAACCCCUACGCGUAAUGAAAGUGAACGCAGGUGAGAGCUUCGGCGCAUCAUCGACCGAUCCUGAUGUUCUCGGAUGGAUUUGAGUAAGAGCAUACGGGGCCGGACCCGAAAGAAGGUGAACUAUGCCUGUGUAGGGUGAAGCCAGAGGAAACUCUGGUGGAGGCUCGCAGCGGUUCUGACGUGCAAAUCGAUCGUCAAACAUGGGCAUGGGGGGCGAAAGACUAAUCGAACCUUCUAGUAGCUGGUUUCCGCCG
rnacentral:rRNA from 1 species